rnacentral:rRNA from 1 species
UACGGAGGGUGCAAGCGUUAAUCGGAAUUACUGGGCGUAAAGCGUGCGCAGGCGGUUUGUUAAGUCUGCUGUGAAAUCCCCGAGCUCAACUUGGGAAUUGCAGUGGAUACUGGCAAGCUGGAGUACGGUAGAGGAAGAUGGAAUUCCCGGUGUAGCAGUGAAAUGCGUAGAGAUCGGGAGGAACACCAGUGGCGAAGGCGGCCUUCUGGACCAGUACUGACGCUCAUGCACGAAAGCGUGGGGAGCAAACAGG